CAGAUGAGCUGACAAAAAUGAUGAUGGGAAGCUGUCCCUGGAGGAAUUUCAAGCCUUUUUUUCUGAUGGGACCCUCAAUGAGGAGGAACUGGAGAAGCUCUUUCACACCAUUGACUCAGAUAAUACCAAGUAAGUGGCUCA